rnacentral:rRNA from 1 species
UAGUCUAUAAACAUUGCUGCAGAUUCGCCUUAGAGUUUGAUCCUGGCUCAGAACGAACGCUGGCGGCGUGGAUAAGACAUGCAAGUCGAGCGCUGAUUACAGGGUAGCAAUAUUCUGUGGUUGGAGCGGCGCAAGGGUGCGUAACACGUGGGUAAUCUGCCAUGAAGUUUGGGAUAACUUGCUGAAAGGCGAGCUAAUACCGGAUGUGACAGUUGGAAGGCAUCUUCCGAUUUUCAAAGCUGGGGACCGUAAGGCCUGGCGCUUCAUGAUGAGCCCGCGGCCUAUCAGCUAGUUGGUGAGGUAACGGCUCACCAAGGCUAAGACGGGUAGCUGGUCUGAGAGGACGACCAGCCACACUGGAACUGAGACACGGUCCAGACACCUACGGGUGGCAGCAGUCGAGAAUUUUUCACAAUGGGCGCAAGCCUGAUGGAGCGACGCCGCGUGGGGGAUGAAUGGCUUCGGCCCGUAAACCCCUGUCAUUUGCGAUCAACCGUUAUUAUUUAAAAGAUGAUGACCUGAUAGUAGCGAAAGAGGAAGGGACGGCUAACUCUGUGCCAGCAGCCGCGGUAAUACAGAGGUCCCGAGCGUUGUUCGGAUUCACUGGGCGUAAAGGGUGCGUAGGUGGUGAGGUAAGUCGGAUGUGAAAUCUCGGAGCUCAACUCCGAAAUGGCAUUGGAAACUACCUUGCUCGAGGGUUGGAGGGGGGACUGGAAUGCUUGGUGUAGCAGUGAAAUGCGUAGAUAUCAAGCGGAACACCAGUGGCGAAGCGAGUCCCUGGACACUCCUGACACUGAGGCACGAAGCUAGGGAGCAAACAGGAUUAGAUACCCUGGUAGUCCUAGUCGUAACCGUGCACGUUUGCUGUAAAAGGAUCGACCCCUUUGUGCGUAGUACGCGUAAACGUGCGCUGGCAGUACGUCGCAGAUAACUCAGCAUGACGGGACUGCCAGCGGUGGAGUAUGUG